rnacentral:rRNA from 1 species
GGCUCUCUGCUUACAUAAAUAUAGAGAGUCGAGCCUGCCCAGUGAAUUUUUAAACGGCCGCGGUACUCUGACCGUGCAAAGGUAGCAUAAUCAUUUGCCUUAUAAUUGAAGGCUAGUAUGAAUGGUUUGACGAGAACAAUACUGUCUCCUUUUUAUUUUCAAGAACUUAACUUUUAGGUGAAGAGGCCUAAAUUUUAUUGAAGGACAAGAAGACCCUAUCGAGCUUAAAAGACAUUAUAGAAGUUUAUAUAUUUUUAAAUAAAUUUUCUAUUUAGCUUUUUAGUUGGGGCGACUAAGGAACAAAAAAAGCUUCUUGCUGAUAAUAAGCAGUCAUGUUUAGAUCCGAUAAUAAUCGAUUAAAGAAAUUAGUUACCGUAGGGAUAACAGCAUAAUCUCUCUUGAGAGACCUAAUCGAAAGAGGGGGUUGUGACCUCGAUGUUGGACUAGAAUAUCCUAAAGAUGCAGAAGUCUUUGAGGGUCGGUCUGUUCGACCGUUAAAAUUCU